AUUGAACGCUGGCGGCAGGCUUAACACAUGCAAGUCGAGCGAGCGGCGGACGGGUGAGUAAUGUCUGGGAAACUGCCUGAUGGAGGGGGAUAACUACUGGAAACGGUAGCUAAUACCGCAUACCAUCAGAUGUGCCCAGAUGGGAUUAGCUAGUUGGUGGGGUAACGGCUCACCGAGGCGACGAUCCCUAGCUGGUCUGAGAGGAUGACCAGCCACACUGGAACUGAGAAACGGUCCAGACUCCUACGGGAGGCAGCAGUGGGGAAUAUUGCACAAGGGGCGCAAGCCUGAUGCAGCCAUGCCGCGUGUAUGAAGAAGGCCUUCGGGUUGUAAAGGACUUUCAGCGAGGAGGCGUUACCCGCAGAAGAAGCACCGGCUAACUCCGUGCCAGCCGCCGCGGUAAUAC
rnacentral:rRNA from 1 species